UUGUUGUAUGUUUUCUGGGCUGUAUGGCCAUGUUCUAGAAGUAUUCCCUCCUGACGUUUCGCCCACAUCUAUGGAAGGCAUCCUCAGAGGUUGUGAGGUAUUGGUGCUUCUGAUUUUAGACGACAAGAGAGCGUGAACCAUUGUUGUAUUUCAGUAAUACCCACAUAAUUACUGGUUGCUUCAUUUCCUGUCUAAUCUCGAUCUAUGCCAUCAGAUGGUUGAUCAUCAUCAGAAAUCUAUACCCUCCAACUGUCUCAAUGGAGCAGGAACAUUGCCAAUUAAUCAUCAAUAGUCCUACUUUUUCAGAUGCUUUUAAGAUGUCAUAGUUUCUCUCUUCUCCAGCUAUCUUUCCCCUUUGCCCACAGCUUACUUCAAUUGCUACAAACUGAUUUCAAAGUGCAAAAGUAAUUUGUACUAAUUUGCCAUAUUUCAUUGCAUAUUAGUUGUCCCUUUAUUUGAUUAAAAAAGGGUGUGAUAAAAACUGUC